rnacentral:rRNA from 1 species
CCUACGGGGGGCAGCAGUGGGGGAUAUUGCACAAUGGGGGAAACCCUGAUGCAGCGACGCCGCGUGGGUGAAGAAGCGCCUCGGCGCGUAAAGCCCUGUCAGCAGGGAAGAAAAUGACGGUACUUGAAGAAGAAGCCCCGGCUAACUACGUGCCAGUAGCCGCGGUAAUACGUAGGGGGCAAGCGCUAUCCGGGUUGACUGUGUGUAAGGGGGGCGCAGCCGGCGAUGCAAGCCAGGGGUGAAAGUCCGGGGCCCAACCCCGGGACUGCUCUUGAAACUGCGUGGCUAGGGUGCAGGAGGGGCAGGCGGAAUGCCUGGUGUAGCGGUGAAAUGCGUAGAUAUCAGGAGGAACACCGGUGGCGAAGGCGGCCUGCUGGACUGCAACUGACGUUGAGGCCCGAAGGCGUGGGGAGCAAACGGGAUUAGAUACCCUUGUAGUC